rnacentral:rRNA from 1 species
GACGAACGCUGGCGGCGUGCCUAAUACAUGCAAGUAGAACGCUGAAGGAGGAGCUUGCUCUUCUGGAUGAGUUGCGAACGGGUGAGUAACGCGUAGGUAACCUGCCUGGUAGCGGGGGAUGACUAUUGGAAACGAUAGCUAAUACCGCAUAAGAGUAGAUGUUGCAUGACAUUUACUUAAAAGGUGCAAUUGCAUCACUACCAGAUGGACCUGCGUUGUAUUAGCUAGUUGGUGGGGUAACGGCUUACCAAGGCGACGAUACAUAGCCGACCUGAGAGGGUGAUCGGCCACACUGGGACUGAGACACGGCCCAGACUCCUACGGGAGGCAGCAGUAGGGAAUCUUCGGCAAUGGACGGAAGUCUGACCGAGCAACGCCGCGUGAGUGAAGAAGGUUUUCGGAUCGUAAAGCUCUGUUGUAAGAGAAGAACGAGUGUGAGAGUGGAAAGUUCACACUGUGACGGUAUCUUACCAGAAAGGGACGGCUAACUACGUG